AUGAACGCUAGCGACAGGCCUAACACAUGCAAGUCGAGGGGCAGCACUAGGAGCAAUCUGAGGUGGCGACCGGCGCACGGGUGAGUAACACGUAUGCAACCUGCCUGUAAGCGGGGAAUAACCCGUUGAAAGACGGACUAAUACCGCAUAAUACUAAAUUACUGCAUGGUAAUUUAUUUAAACAUUUAUGGCUUACAGAUGGGCAUGCGCAUGAUUAGCUAGUUGGAGAGGUAACGGCUCCCCAAGGCAACGAUCAUUAGGGGUUCUGAGAGGAAGGUCCCCCACACUGGUACUGAGACACGGACCAGACUCCUACGGGAGGCAGCAGUGAGGAAUAUUGGUCAAUGGACGAGAGUCUGAACCAGCCAAGUCGCGUGCAGGAAGAAUGUCCUAUGGAUUGUAAACUGCUUUUGCAGGGGAAUAAAGUGCAUCGCGUGUGAUGUUUUGUAUGUACUCUGCGAAUAAGGAUCGGCUAACUCCGUGCCAGCAGCUGC
rnacentral:rRNA from 1 species